rnacentral:snRNA from 1 species
GGAUGUGAGGGCGAUCUGGCUGCGACAUCUGUCACCCCAUUGAUCGCCAGGGUUGAUUCGGCUGAUCUGGCUGGCUAGGCGGUGGCCCCUUCCUCCCUCACUGCUCCAUGUGCGUCCUCCCGAAGCUGCGCGCUCGGUCGAAGAGGAAGACCACCCCCGAUAGAGGAGGACCGCUUCCUCGGUCAAGGGUGUACGAGUAGCUGCGCUCCCCUGCUAGAACCUCCAAACAAGCUCUCAAGGAAUGUGGGACUACUCUGUAUUAUCUUUGUAAAUUUCUGUGAAGCUAAAAUUAUUU